GUCGAAAUAAAAACGACUCUCGACAACGGAUAUCUCGGCUCUCGCAUCGAUGAAGAACGUAGCGAAAUGCGAUACUUGGUGUGAAUUGCAGAAUCCCGUGAACCAUCGAGUCUUUGAACGCAAGUUGCGCCCCAAGCCGUUAGGCCGAGGGCACGUCUGCCUGGGUGUCACA
rnacentral:rRNA from 1 species